CGCCCAACUGUCAUGGGCAGCACAGGGCAGGGCUCGGCAGCUGCGGCCCCCAGGCGCUCAGAGACAAGAGGGAGCCCAGGACAGGUGUCCCUAGGCUCGGCCACCAGCCACUCUGAACCGUCGUGUCCAGGACAGGUCCAUUUAGGCCUGGCCACCACUAUUGGAAAUCAGUUGGCAGAGAACCUGGCAGAGAUCUGCACAGUGAGCACGGUGCAGGCAGGGCCGCCACACACCCCGACGGAGCCCCUGGAGCCGGCCUUCCUGGACAGCGGCCCCAGCCCUGACCCCUCCUUCCUUGACUCAAGGACCUCCACCCCACAGGCCCUGAUAGUGGGAAGCACCAGCUCUAGCCCACGCUGAAGUCCCAGCUGCAGAGCUGGUGCCAGCUUCACCUGCAGCUCCCUCACCAACUUGGGUCCUAGAGCCAGCGCCGGCACCCGGAUCUUCUUGGUCGCCAGCUGCAGAGCCGGAACUCCUGGUGGCUCCACCGCAAGGGCUCACCUCUUGAGCUCUACCUGGAGGCAGCGCUUGACCCAAACCUCCCAUUCCCUUCUCUGCCAGAUUUACUUGUCAUUGUACUUAGUGCUUUCCUUAAUUCCCAGAGAGGUGGAAACGGUAGAAUUAAUGUAAAUAAAGUGAAAGAUUUUAGUGCUGUUUAAAACGAUCAGCUUGGUGGCCUUUAUUGCCUUCUCAAUGUCGUGCAACCUUCACACUGUGCAGUCUAGAACAUUUUCCCUCAAUUCUGUACCCAAAGUAAUUUCUUUUCUCUCCCCUCCUGCUAGAUCCUGGCCACCACUCAUCUGCUGUCCCUGUCAUUCACCUCUUCUACAUUAUCCACAUCACUGCAGUUAUGUUUCUCUUCAGUCAGAGGAUGUUGGAAAUCACCGCUUAAUCUUGCUUUUUCUUAGAAGGGACAAACCUAGAGAGAUCUCAUCAAUUUCUCAUUCAUUGGUGGUGUGAG
rnacentral:lncRNA from 1 species